rnacentral:rRNA from 1 species
UACGUAGGGGGGCUAGCGUUGUCCGGAAUCAUUGGGCGUAAAGAGCGUGUAGGCGGCCCGGUAAGUCCGCUGUGAAAGUCGGGGGGCUCAACCCUCGAAUGCCGGUGGAUACUGUCGGGCUAGAGUGCGGAAGAGGCGAGUGGAAUUCCUGGUGUAGCGGUGAAAUGCGCAGAUAUCAGGAGGAACACCGAUUGCGAAGGCAGCUCGCUGGGACGUAACUGACGCUGAGACGCGAAAGCGUGGGGGAGCAAACAGG